CCUACGGGUGGCAGCAGUGAGGAAUAUUGGUCAAUGGAGGCGACUCUGAACCAGCCAAGUAGCGUGAAGGAUGACUGCCCUAUGGGUUGUAAACUGCUUUUAUGUGGGAAUAAACUGUUCCACGUGUGGCAUAUUGUAUGUACCAUAUGAAUAAGGAUCGGCUAAUUCCGUGCCAGCAGCCGCGGUAAUACGGAGGGUCCGAGCGUUAUCCGGAUUUAUUGGGUUUAAAGGGAGCGUAGGUGGCUUGUUAAGUGAGUUGUGAAAGGUUGCGGCUCAACCGUAGAACUGCAGUUGGAACUGGCAGUCUUGAGUACAGUAGAGGUGGGCGGAAUUCGUGGUGUAGCGGUGAAAUGCUUAGAUAUCACGAAGAACUCCGAUUGCGAAGGCAGUUCACUGUACUGUAACUGACACUGAGGCUCGAAAGUGUGGGUAUCAAACAGGAUUAGAUACCCGAGUAGUC
rnacentral:rRNA from 1 species